AGCCUCCCCGAGUAGCUGGGAUUACAGGCGACUGCCGCCACCACGCCCGGCUAAUUUUUUAAGUAUUUUUAGUAGAGACGGGUUUCACCGCGUUAGCCAGCAUGGUCUUGAUCUCCUGACCUCGUGAUCUGCCCUCCUCGGCCUCCCAAAGUGCUGGGAUUACAGGCGUGAGCCACCGCGCCCGGCCGACCCCUGUAGGGUUUUAAAGGAGAGAGGCAGCAUCCCAGAGGGCAAAAAGGGCUUCAUUCAUGGAGAAAGCAACUGAGCUGGGCAGAGCACAGACGGAAUUUGAAUUGGAGGCCAGAGGCAAAGGGAACUCCAAGUGGAAGAAGAAACGGCAUGAAAAAAGGGAUUGAGAAGGAAAAGGACAAGAUGGUUUGGAGAGAGAGCAACUUCAGCCUGGAAAAGCAGAAAUGAGAUGCGGCCAAGAAAAAGACUCCAGCCCAGCCUGCCUUGGUUCUAACCCUGACUGUUACUUAACCUCUUUCUGGCUCAGUCAAGAAACUUGAGCACUGCAAGAUGAUCAUGUGGAAUACCUACUUCAAACGGAUGUUAAGAGGAGUAAAAGUGUUCUUGUUUCUAAGUGCUUGAAAUGCAGCUGGCAUAUAAUUAAGCUAUGCAAAUAUUUACUUUUUUUUUUUGAAAUGCUGAGUUUACUGAUCACUCUAAUUUUUACAUAUGUGUGUCAUUACAGAAGAUUCAGGCUUUAGCGAUGACUGGAGGGUCAUUCGCUGGAAAGAAUUUCAUCAGUUGGAACUAAAUCAUGGUGAGCAAAAGAAAGUCUACCUAAGUGAUAUGGUUUGGCUCUGUGUCCACAUCCAGAUCUCAUCUCGAAUUGUAAUUCCCACAAGUUGUGGGACGGAGGUGAUUGAAUCAUGGGGGCAGGUGCCCCAAUGCUGUUCUGGUGAUAAUGAGUGAGUCCCCAAGAGAACUGAUGAUUUUAUAAGGGGCUCUUCCCCCUUCACUUUCUCUUCUCUCUCCUGCUGCCUUGUGAAGCAGGUGCCUGCUUCGCCUUCUGCCAUGAUUGUGUUUCCUGAGGCCUCCCCAGCCAUGCAGAACUUAGUGCCUCACUUUGGAGUCGGCUGAGAAGAUCAUUCCAGACGGGAGUUUUGACACUGUACAAAUGCACUGUCUUCACAUCUACGCUGACACCCCUGCCUUUCUACCUGCAGGUGUCUGUGGCUUACAAGCUGGUGCCUCCCACAGACCCUGUAGUUUGGAGCUAAUGAAGAGCUGAGAAGCUACCAGGAUCUGCAACUUUUUGCCUGAGGGUUUUCUCAGAAGACACAGAAACUGUUCUGCCUAUAAGCCUUGAAGUGCCAGGGAAUUAACACCUACCUUCCCACAGCCCUCCCCACAGUGACUGAUAGCAUUGAUAACGAUACCCAAGCUUCACCCCUCAGGUGGGAUAACUGAGCUGCUUGUUCUAUACCAUGUUCUAGAGUUUCUCCCAUGAGUUUAGGUUCUAAUCAUCCACAUGUAAAUUGCUUGAUAAGAAACCUUCAUUGACUCCUUGUCUCACUUCCCCUCCCCUUAUUUGUUUUGUUUGCACCUUUCAAAUAAACUAUUUUCAUUCAAA
ensembl:lncRNA EGFLAM-AS4 EGFLAM antisense RNA 4